AAAAUUACAUAUUAAAUUUUUAAUAAAUUUAUUUUAUAUUUAAUUACCCCGGUUGAACCUUUAAACCAUUGAACCAGUCACUUCACCGGUUUAGUGACCGGUUCGGUUCUCGCAACCUUGUUAUUUACAUAAUCUAAUUUGUAAAACGAAGAUGAAUAUGAACCAUUCAAGAGGGAAAGGGAAUAUUUUACAGGUCCAAAAUCCAAAUGGCUAUCAAAGGAAUAGCAUAACAGUGUUGGUCUGUCAUGAUUUCUACAUAAGCCUUGAUUUGUUCAGAUGCAUUAGUUAGAGUUCUUCAUUAUCGUCUUUUGCACAUUUGUUGUCAAUUCAGAUGUUAAUAGUUUGACAUUCAACUGGAUUUAAGAUAGCUUUUGUUAUUAUUUUUGUUUAUUUUUUUAAAUUUUUUUUUUAUUGUGAAUUGAUAUUAAAUUGGCCCUUCUCUGUCUUUCACUUUAUAGAUGCUUACCUGGGUAUCCCUUCAAGUGUCCCAAGCUGCAGAUUUCUCCUGAGAAUGGAUUAUCAGAGAGUGACACCGAUAAACUAUUGUCACUCCUCCGUGAUCAGAUAUGAUCCCAGUUUAUACCUCAAUAUAUUUCUCUACUCGUACGCUUCAAUGUUGUUGUUGAAUUGCUGACCUUUGGUGCAUUUAUUGUGCUGUAGGUAGUGUUGUAGUAAUAUUUAUGGCUAGGAUGAAAUAUUGGUUAGCCAUAGAAUGCUUUGAUAUUUUGGGUUCCUUGGUGUCAAUGCUGAGAGUAAUUAAGAGCAAGCAUCUGUUAUGAUGCCCAAGUUGGUAGAAGGGGAGCCACAAGGUGGAAGAAGUAUCAAGUAUGUAUUAUUGAAUUAAAAGAUUUUUAAAAGCGUAAUUUGUACAUUAUCUAAAGAAAGUUGAGGUAGAAUUCAAUAUUGAGGUAGUUGAGACCUGAAUGGCAAGAACAAGUUACUAAAACAAGCAUAUUUCUAUGUAAUCUUAUUUUGAAUUCUUCAUGUGUUCAUCCUUCUUUUAAUUCUUUGAAUGUAACUACUGAUCUUCCUUGGUACCCAGGAGUUUACUAGACAUGUUUCAGUUCAAUUAUUUCCUCACUUCAUUUCAUUUAAUCAUGUAUUCAUGUUCUUUUCCUCUUCCGAAAUUAGUUACUCUUUUUAUUUGCAUAGCUGUUAUGACAUGGUUUGUUUAUGGAAGCUUCAGUUUUUACUAAAAUUGAAGCCUUUCUCCUAAUUUAUGUAUUUUUAUUUCUUGUUUAUUCUGAAUUUUGGUUUCAAUUUGAUCUAGUUAGAGGCAGGGAAGCAGCUAUUAACUCCUGCUGCCAAUUUGCAUAAAUCCAUUCUUCACCUUCCUUGAGUUGCCACUUGCCGGGAUAUUACAAUUUUGUGAAGAAUAAAUCUGUAUUAACAUAGCUAUUAGUUAGCAAGCUGCAGCCGUUAAGUUGAGCACUGUGAUGGAUGCCUCGAGAAGAAAAUAUAAAAAAGACCCAACAGCUUUAGAGUGCAUGGUGCAAUCAAUGGAAACUGUGUUUUGGAGCUGAAAUCUCUAGUUCCCUAUCCCUAGGAUUUGAGAUGGUGUUGUAUUUAAGUAUGUAUUUUUGUAGAGAAAAGAAGAAAAAAAAAAGAAAAAAGAAUGCUUGUGUAAUAACCUUAUCUGUUUUGGAAAAUUAUAUCAAAGUGUCCAUCUAUUUACAUUUAUAUUUAAUUAAAUUAAUAGUUGAUUAAUUGUGUAGCAUAGUCCAUAGCUACCUCGUUCAAGUUUUGAACAAUAACAAUAACAAUCAUGCUAUAUUGCUAUGCAAUAAUUAACACCAGACUUCAAAUAUGAUAAUAUUUUGGUUAUUAUUAUUUUGUUUGGAAUUUGGACACUCUUGUCUUGUACGACAUAUAAUACAACUCAACCUGUGUCAAUCAAGGAUAGAAAGGAGAAGAAGGAAAAAUUUUCUAAUUUGGAAUAACCAAACACAGCUUGAAUUAUAAUUACAGUGUAGCAAAAAGUUUGGGAUCCCAUUCUUUGUGAAAUCCGUGUAUUUAUCUAUAUCGUUACUUUAAAAGAUGUUUACAUUCUUUGCUCUUCUCUUCGGCAUCCCUGUUAUAAUGAUAGAACAAUAUUCAUCAUCAUAGAAUUAGGUAGCAUCGUAAAUGAAUUAUCAGACAAACCAAUUACCUGCAACGAAAAGAAGAAUUUGCAUUGUGGUCUCUUAGCUUGGAGUGAGAAUAUAAACAUGAUGUUUAGUGAGCAAUAUUAUAGUUUUUAAUUAAAAAAAUUAUCAGCUUGAAAAUUUUUCCUUCCACCUUUCGUCAAUAAAUCCUCAACUCCUCCGUGAUCAGAUAUGAUCCCAGUUUAUACCUCAAUAUAUUUCUCUACUCGUACGCUUCAAUGUUGUUGUUGAAUUGCU
rnacentral:lncRNA from 1 species